rnacentral:rRNA from 1 species
GAGUUUGAUCAUGGCUCAGAACGUACGCUGGCGGCACGCCUAACACAUGCAAGUCGAACGAAGUAGCAAUACUUAGUGGCAGACGGGUGAGUAACAUGUAGGUAUCUGCCCUUUGGCCUGGAAUAACACGAGGAAACUUGUGCUAAUACCGGAUAAGUCUUUACGGAGAAAGCUUUAUGCACCAUUGGAUGAGCCUGCACUUGAUUAGUUUGUUGGUGGGGUAAUGGCCUACCAAGACUGUGAUCAAUAGCUGAUUUGAGAGGAUGAUCAGCCACAUUGGGACUGAGACACGGCCCAAACUCCUACGGGAGGCAGCAGUGGGGAAUCUUGCACAAUGGAGGAAACUCUGAUGCAGCGAUGCCGCGUGAGUGAAGAAGGCCCUUGGGUUGUAAAGCUCUUUCGUCGGGGAAGAAAAUGACUGUACCCGAAUAAGAAGGUCCGGCUAACUUCGUGCCAGCAGCCGCGGUAAUACGAAGGGACCUAGCGUAGUUCGGAAUUACUGGGCUUAAAGAGUUCGUAGGUGGUUGAAAAAGUUAGUGGUGAAAUCCCAGAGCUUAACUCUGGAACUGCCAUUAAAACUUUUCAGCUAGAGUAUGAUAGAGGAAAGCAGAAUUUCUAGUGUAGAGGUGAAAUUCGUAGAUAUUAGAAAGAAUACCAAUUGCGAAGGCAGCUUUCUGGAUCAUUACUGACACUGAGGAACGAAAGCAUGGGUAGCGAAGAGGAUUAGAUACCCUCGUAGUCCAUGCCGUAAACGAUGUGUGUUAGACGUUGGAAAUUUAUUUUCAGUGUCGCAGCGAAAGCGAUAAACACACCGCCUGGGGAGUACGACCGCAAGGUUAAAACUCAAAUGAAUUGACGGGGACCCGCACAAGUAGUGGAGCAUGUGGUUUAAUUCGAAGAUACGCGCAGAACCUUACCAACACUUGACAUGUUCGUCGCGACUCUAAGAGAUUAGAGUUUUCGGUUCGGCCGGACGAAACACAGGUGCUGCAUGGCUGUCGUUAGCUCGUGUCGUGAGAUGUUGGGUUAAGUCCCGCAACGAGCGCAACCCUCACUUUUAGUUGCCAUCAUUAAGUUGGGCACUCUGAAAGAACUGCCAGUGAUAAGCUGGAGGAAGGUGGGGAUGACGUCAAGUCCUCAUGGCCCUUACGUGUUGGGCUACACACGUGCUACAAUGGUAUCUACAACAGGAAGCAAGACUGCGAAGUUAAGCAAAUCCCUAAAAGAUACCUCAGUUCGGAUUGCACUCUGCAACUCGAGUGCAUGAAGCUGGAAUUACUAGUAAUCGUGGAUCAGCGUGCCACGGUGAAUGCGUUCCCGGGUCUUGUACACACCGCCCGUCACACCAUGGGAGUUGGUUCUACCUUAAGGCAAGGUUUCAAACCCUUGACCACGGUAUAGUCAGCGACUGGGGUGAAGUCGUAACAAGGUAACC